CCUCUGCCUUGGCGGGGCACCCACUCAGUGGGUAAACGCCUCUGACAUGGGGAGCUGUCAGUCUGUCUCCGGAAUUCAAGAGCACAACAUGGUGUCUUUUUUUCCUGCAAGUUUCCUUGAGGUUUGGUACCAGUGAGGUACAGCUUAGAUUCUUCUGGUACAAGAGAAAUAGAGAAGCACCGCGCGUUCAGGAGCUUGUGAGAGUGACACAAGACGCUUCUGUCACCAGCGGUAACAGAAGGUGGGAUCUGUCAAAAACGGUAAAAGGGAUGAAGUAGAGGAGGUGGUUCUCAUGGAGGAGCGAUUACAUGAGUUUGGAGUUCACAGGGACGCUUUCUUCAGGAAUCCAAGAUGAACCUGAGGCACGCAGAGACAGUCCCCAGCACUCUGGACUUAAAUCAUAGAUUCAUGUUUUCCCAUAAAUGGAAGCACUGUCCUCAGAUGUCUGUAUGUCCAAACAUCCUACGGUGUCCUUUGUCAAGUGUCACUUGUCUUUAUUUGAAUUCUUCUCGAAUCUUCUCAAGAAGUCCAUUAUAUUGUCUUAAAGUGAAUAGCUGGCAGUAACAGUUUUAAAAAGCUAAGCCGAUACCCACUACGUGUUUCUCCUGUUCCCCACAUUGGCUCUGGAUCUGCUACUUGCCCUACUUAGGACUUCAAUCAAACACCAUAUGAAGAUCUGGAAUAGAAGCUUGAUAAUUAGUCUCAGAAUGGAAGCAUAUAGGAUCAACAGUGAAUCCCACAGUGACAUGAAAUAUCCAAAGACCACCGGGCUGACACCAGCCAUUUCUUCAGAGGUGUCUGGCUCCUGUGCUGGGAGGCUGUCUGGAUUUGCUGUUGCAUCUCAGCCUUUUCAGUGGAAAAUCCCAGCCAGCCAUCUGCUUGGGCAUGUAUAUAGGGAUGCUCAGAAGAAUGCUCACCGGUAUGGAUGGUAAUGAUCUUUGGAGGAGGAGACUGGAGUUCUGCUUGCUUCUUUGCAUUUUAAGUAUUGUUUAAAGUUCUUUUUAUAAUAACCAUAUAAUAAAAGAUCUAUUUUUACAGGCUACAGUGUUGAUGUUAAAUACUGCAGAGCCUGGGUUAGUAACUACUGAGAAUAGGAAAGAGUGCAGGAAAGACGGAAUGAAGAUAAUGAAAUACUAAAAAUCUUUGUAGGAAUGUAAGUGAGGUUGUGGGGUGGGGGGGGAGAUAAAUCACUAGGUAGAUUAGAUAGGUGACUCCUUUUUAUCCACUCCAACACAUCUGUCCCUUUCUUCAGUUCAUCUCAAACACUGUUUCCAGGUAAAGUCCCCAAAUAUCAUUUUGUCGCCACUCUCAAGCUAGACUUCAGUGGCUCUCCCCAAGGAAGCUGAAAUCGCCCGUUUGCCUGUCUGAAGAUUCUAUAAUUGGUCACUUUUAGAGAAAAUGUCCAUGUGUACUUCCUGAGCAUGUACCGUCACAGGCAAGGACUCAAAAUCAGUGUGUACACAUGGGCACUACAGCCUCGGCUGCCAUCAUGAUUGCACAACAGUGAGGGCACAGACACAAUAGUUAAAGUGACUCAGAGAAAGAGGGGCGGCCACUGGCUGAUGUGACAGUUGCUUGGGCACCCAUACAGGUGCGGAGGUGGACCGCAUCGGUAUCUGUCAUUGUCUCUGCACUCCAUCUCCUCCCUUUUCAUUCUUUCUGAACCCUGAGCCCUCCUAACGGCUCAGAUAGUAGGUCAGGUCCAGUCACGGCAUCUGUCUUCUUGUGACGUGCAUGGCACUGAUUUUUUCAGAGAUUCUUUAUGAUCACACGAUACCUGCCAUUGCUAGUCACUGCUGCUGUGUAUGAACCGACUUUUGUCCACGAACAGGUGACCAUGGGCUUUGAAAGUGGUCUCAGUGCUUAGCACAGAAUUCAGCAUAUAGCAAGUGUAUGAUAAAGAGUUGCUGAAAUGUACCAGGAAACUUUCCAGCAAAAUUGUUUAAUAGCUUAAAAUAAAUUCAAUUAAUUUAAGGCAACACACUUGAAAGCAUUACAAUACAAUGUACAGGGAACACUGAUUCUGAGGGGUACAGGGUCAGGGUGACAGGAUCAAAGUAUUUCAUGAGCCUCCAGAAAGUCAAAUUUUAAGCAAUGGGUGGGGAGUUAGAGUCCCCCCAACUUAUACUAGUUAGAAUCCAACCAAGAUUGCAUUUGUAGUAAAUAAAACCCAAACAAAAUUGCUAUGUAGGACAAGAAAAAAAAAACAACCUUGAUUAUUCUGUGACAGCACAAGUGUGUUCUAAGUGUGGCCGUUCUGAGUCUGUGGGCGAGGAGAUAAUUGGACUAUUGGCUAUGUAAACAGAAGUGUGAGCUUACAAAGGCUAGGAGGUCACCUUGGUACUGUACGUGAUAAAAAGGAGAUCUUACUAGGGAGUCUGGCUUUUCUUUUAAUAUUUAAAAAGGAAGAUGAAAAUGCCUUGGAGCCCCAUUUCCCCAAAGUCAUCCCACUGGACCUUAGGUUGUCAGGAUACCGAAGGUGUUCUGUUUUUAAUGGGAGCUAAUGGAACUGGGAGAUGCUGUCUAUGAUCCCGAGGUGUCUGGUUAGAAGGUAUGUGGCCAUCCGAGCAGAGCUCAGGAGAGGGAACUUUUCCUGAGUGUGCAGCAAGGCUGAGCCAGCGCGGUGAGUUGUAGGAGGGUUACUGUAAGCUGGGCGCAUCUUUAUCUCCAUAAAGCCAGAAAUCGACACAUUGAAGCAACAGAGUGAUGGGUUAGGAAUGGACUCCUUGGUGAGGUGUGAGGGAAAUACUGAAUCAUUAUUGUGAGAGAACAUAUCAUCUUCAACACUGGACAAAUGAUAGGAAAGAUAGGAAACCAUUUAUGAAUGAUUUAUGUGCCUGGCUCUCUGAGCUGCCAGGCAGGUGACCCUUUGAAUUUAUUUCUCGCUAGGAGUCCAUGGAUCCAGUACUGUGGACCUCGGGACAUGUGCAGUGACCGUUGGAGGGCGUGGUUCCAGCUCCACCUCUAUCAUCUCUUAUGCAGUGACCAUCAUGAUUUCUCAUCCCAUCCUUCAGCGAUUCCCCUAGGAUUCACGACACGGUGCUUGCAAGUGCUUGCACAGGCUUUUCAGGAUGGCUCUAGCCACCGAUUUCAGCAGGAGAUGGAGAUGAUGCAGCCUUUCCAGCUGUGGGGACCAGUCCACAGGGAGCCUCCUUUCUAGCCACAAUGUCCUCAUCCUUCACCUCCCUGGGCUCCACACAACAUAUGAGAAUUAUUCGCUUGCCAGCCCAUUCUGCUCCUCUCAAAAGAAAAUUGACAAGUUCAAUAAUACCAGUUUGAGAUUGAUUUGUUAGCUAUGUAACUCGGACGCCUCUUUCCACAGAGGAGCAGUUCAGCUCGCCGUGCUUUGCUUUAGAGGUGAUGAUCUCCCAGCCGUGCGCCUCCUGAGCUUCCUGUGCAAGAGAGUCAAACACUGCCACUUUAACGCCGCUGUCUGUCACAGCCCUGCCCACAGCCCAGACCACAAAGCUGCAACAAGUUCAAAGUUCUGGGGACUUCAGCAAAGCACAGCCUCGAUUCCUUUGUUUGCAGAACAAGGUCUCCUCAGAAGCCUUUCUGGGCUCCUAUGCUCCUGCGCAAGUGAGCCGGCAUGCCGUAUGUCUGCUGAAUCCCUAAGGUUUCUGAAGCACCCAGGGGGCCGUAGUUUGUCCAAAGUCACCCUGCAGGAUGGUGGCAGGCUACAAUCAGACCCAGAACUUGUUUCUACUAGGCAAGAUCCCUUGAACCUACUGGAAGCAAUUGUAUUGGUACAGGCCGUGUGCUUCUAUCUUUAAAUAGUCAGCUGGCAACCAUGGUUUGAAGUCCCUUUGAGGGACUGAGUUCAGGCCCUUGUGUGAAGUUCAGACUGCUGUUUGAAGGGGUUCUGGCGGUGUCUGCCAAACAGAACACUCAGAACUAGGAGUGAGAAAAGUGAUCCAGUAUGGCAAGGGCCCAGAGCAGAGGCUUAAAUAGACCUACUUCAUUCCUUUGCUUCCAGCUGGGGUUGUACCCCCACACUCUUCACCGCCCCUUCUGGAAAAGUCUGCUAAGUCAAAAAUCCUCGUAUUUUUCCUUGAAACCAUUAGAUUGUAUUUCCCACUGUAAGUUGAUUUGUGAGCACUGUUAGGAUGUGUCUGCGGAACCUCCUCCUGUGCCCGGACACAGGGCCAGGGGAAAGGCGUGGUUUCAGAUGAAUAACUUUCUAAAUGUAUUUUGCAUUUUCCUCACCUCUUUGCUUUGAACGUAAUUUUGAAUAGACAGGAACCCGAUACAAUGGAUGUGUUCUUGUGUUGUACACAGCCUGUCAUCUUGCUACAGGUAAAAUAUUGUAGCCCUCAUUCACUAAUAAUUGAUCCUGAAAUCAUCAAUAGUCGUCAUAAACAGCAAACACAGAGAAGCAUCCUAGCAGUUUAAAAGUUUAGGAUUCAAAGAGGCUUUGGAAGUAAUCUGAACCAGCUACCUUCUCGCCUUUUCUUAAUGGGAGAUCUAUCUCAACAGCCCUCAACCUUUGCUGCGUAUGAGAAUCAUUCUGUAGAAACUGUAAAGCCCCCCCAGGGUCUGGAUCCCACUCUAGAUCAAUUAAGAAUUUCUGGGAGUGAGAUUGAGAUAUUGGCAUUUCCUAAAACCUCCCAGUGUGCAGCCAAGUUCUAAUGAGUGAUCUGUCUUUUCUGUGGCUGGACCCUGGGGUGGAGUCUAUUUUUCGGGGCUGGAGAUGGGUGUGGCUGUUCAUGGUGGACAGCUCUUCCUCUCAGAAUUAACACCCCAGGAAACCAUGUGGGACCAAUGGGCUGUUUUGCUGGGUAAGUCCUUUGAGCAUUUGAAGAGAGUAUAUGAUUUACAACAUACUAGAUUACAUCCACUGUACAAUGUGGUCAGAGAAAAUGAAACUCUUAGACAUGCUGUUCCAUAAUGUGGGUUUGGACCCAGAAUUCGGCUACCAUUCUGUGCCACUUUCAUUGUUUUGCUUCUUUGAUGAAACAAUUGGGAACACUAUAAAGAAAGGAGUCAAUUUUACUUGAGGUUAAAGCCAAUAAGUUUGUGUGUAUAUAGGUUCAUGUGUGGCGGGGGGAGGUGCCCAUGCAUGUAUGUGCAUGUGUAGGCCAGGGGACAGCCCUGGGUGUCAUUCCUCAGAUACCAUCCAUUGUUUUUUGAGAUAGCAUCUUUCAUUGGCAUAGAACUUGCUAAGUAGACUAGACGGCUGGCCGGUGAGCCCCAGAGGUCUUCUUGUCUCUGUCUCCCCAAGCCUGGAUUAUAAGCAUGUGCCACCAUGUCCAGUUAUCUUUAUGUGGCUUCUGGGGAUUGAACUUAGGUCUCUGUGCUUCUUCCCAAGGAAACGCUUUAUCAACAGAAUCAUCUUUCCACUCUAGCCAAUAGUUUUCUCAGAAGCUAGUGUGACCAAUGACAGAGGAUCUUCUCUUUCCUCCUGGCUGGCUGUCCGUGGCAGCCUGUGUCCUGCAUGGGUAGCAUCUCUACUGGGCGGUCAAACUUGCCACCGCUCUCCUGUGUCUGCAUUCGAGCCCGGGGACAGGCAGACUAUGGAAGAGCAGCCAAGGGAAGAAGAAAAAGCAGAAGAGGGGGUUGUCCACAACAUACCCCAAUAUAGAGAGCCUCCUGCUGAGUUCUGGAGACCUGAUCCAGCACCAUUUAUUAACAGGUCAAGUUACGGGUUUCUAUCUCUUAGAUUUGGAUCUUGGCUCAUGUGUGCUGCAAGGAGCAACUUUGUGAAGGGAUCUUCACCUGUUUGAGCCCCAGUUUCUUCAUCUGUCGUCAGUCAGAAGUGACAAUUGUAGCUAAGCUCGAUGAAAUUAGAAAGAUACUUUGUGUGUAUAUGAAAUUAGAAAAAUACCUGGUACCUGACAAAACUCAGCUAUUCUUGCAUAAUCAUAGCCUCCCCUCCCCCUGCCAUCCCACACUACCAAGCUGUCCUUGAUCCACAGGCCAGUUGUCCACCCUCCCUUCCUGAUUUAAGUCCCAUGUGGUCUGAAUACAGCACCAUUGACAAGGUCCCUCAGUCUCAUCUUCCCCUGUCCAGUGCUCGGCUUGGAUUUUGCAGGUGUGGCUCCUUGCAGUUCAGCAUCCCAUUUUGGCUCCCAUCACCUCCCAAAGGCACUGAGGGAAAAACAAGUUGCUUCACACUCUUGACCCACUGCCGCACAUGGGGUGGAAGGGAGACCCUGCCAGACAACCUUGCUCCUGAGGAGGAUAUUUUUCAGUCUCCUUUCUCAAAAGUCCACGUGAAAUUGAACUUGGAGCCACGAUUUGCCCUUCCUUUUAAGCAUGCAGGGAAAUCAUGAAGUUUUUAACAGACACUGGAGGAUAUAUUCUUACUCCCCUUCCCAUUGAGCAAACAUUACAUUUCUGAGCACAGAUUCUUGAACUCCAACACUAGCAACAUGGCCUUUAUUUUCUAUUCUUCUUCAAUGGAUUCUAUCCAUCCUGCUAUGUGAAACUCUGGGGAUGUGACCCACUAGACAUUAUCCUCACCAGCCGACAUUUAAAGGGUAUGAAGAUGGAAGGUAUUUGAUCCACAGAGCAGUAGUUCCAGCAUGUGUCAGUGAGCAAGUAAAUGCUUCCUUGCAGAAGUCCCUGCUCCCUCUGUUGGGUAAAUGGAUGACUUUCCAGGGAUGCUGCAGAGAAGAGUGAUUUUUUAAAAAAAAAAAUGGCCUAAGGCAUCUGUAAUAUAGAGUCUUUAACCCAGUACACAUUUCUUGCUGUUUAAAAAUAAGUUUAAAUUGGGCCCUUUUAUUAUCCAGCCAGGUCCCCUGAAGUCUGUGAGGAAGCCACUCACUAAUGAAGGAAAAGGGGGAGCAGACUGAGUCUUACAAGUCAUUUUUAUGUACCCAACACAUGCCAGAACAGUCCCACAUGGGUUGGGUCAUCGCUCAAUCCACUACUUGACCAUCACUACGGGAUGCAGGUGGCUUCAAAACAAGCUGAGGGUCAGGCAGGGGAGGAGGAGAAAAACCUGAGGAGUCACUGGCAGAUGAGAAAACGACGUUUGGCGCCAGGAACUCAGAAGCAGAAUAAAUACAACAAACACCAACGUCAUUCUCACUCUAAAUUACAGAAUAAAUACAACAAACAUCAAUGUCAUUUUCACUCUAAAUUACAGCUCCUUGAGGUUUUGGUAAAAUUUUCAUUCCCUUGACUAUUGUAGGAAGAUGUUUCCUAGUCAGAGAAUGGGUUUUCAUUCCUUUGUGCAAGGACAUGAAUGUACCUGACUCGGCAAGCCGCGUGGACAGUCUUCAAGUCUCCUUGCAGUCAGACCUGCAGAGAGCACUGUUUUAAGAUGGCUUUAGUUUGGACAGUCUGUGAAUUUCAUAUCCCCUCUCAUGUUUCCUACAGUGCAAUACGUUUGCUACUGAUGCAUUGCUACCUGGGAAAUAUUCAGUGCAUGGUGUGUGAUGAAGAAAUGGUUCUGUGAUACUAAAUUCAUAACCCAUUCUGGAACCAACUGUGCCAACUGCCUGGUGAUAAUUAACACACACACACACACACACACACACACACACACACACACAC